UACGGAGGGGGCAAGCGUUGUUCGGAAUUAUUGGGCGUAAAGAGUAUGUAGGCGGCUAUUUAAGUCAGGCGUGCAAGCCCACGGUUCAACCGUGGAAUUGCGUUUGAAACUAUUUAGCUUGAGUACAGGAGAGGAAAGCGGAAUUCCCAGUGUAGCGGUGAAAUGCAUUGAUAUUGGGAAGAACACCGGUGGCGAAGGCGGCCUUCUGGUCUGAUACUGACGCUGAGAUACGAAAGCGUGGGUAGCAAACAGG
rnacentral:rRNA from 1 species